GAUGAACGCUGGCGGCGUGCCUAACACAUGCAAGUCGAGCGAUUCUCUUCGGAGAAGAGCGGCGGACGGGCGAGUAACGCGUGGGUAACCUGCCCUGUACACACGGAUAACAUACCGAAAGGUAUGCUAAUACGGGAUAAUAUGCUUUAGUCGCAUGGCUGAACUAUCAAAGCUCCGGCGGUACAGGAUGGACCCGCGUCUGAUUAGCUAGUUGGUAUGGUAACGGCUUACCAAGGCGACGAUCAGUAGCCGACCUGAGAGGGUGAUCGGCCACAUUGGAACUGAGACACGGUCCAAACUCCUACGGGAGGCAGCAGUGGGGAAUAUUGCACAAUGGGCGAAAGCCUGAUGCAGCAACGCCGCGUGAGCGAUGAAGGCCUUCGGGUCGUAAAGCUCUGUCCUCAAGGAAGAUAAUGACGGUACUUGAGGAGGAAGCCCCGGCUAACUACGUGCCAGCCGCCGCAGUAA
rnacentral:rRNA from 1 species